AGUUCAGGCGCGGAUCCAGAGGGGGGGUUCCGGGGGUUGGAACCCCCCUUUUUUUUGGACGAUCAAUGCAUUUGAAUGGGGACAUGUAAUUGGAACCCCCCCCUUUGUCCUGGGUUAGGAACCCCCCCUUUUUAAAAUGGCUGGAUCCGCCCCUGCAGUUUGUGCCUGUCCCAAAUCAGAAUCCUGUUAUUCAUUGGUUGUAGUUUGUUGCUGUGUUAUAUAUAUAUUUUUUUCAUUUUUUUGUACAUUAACUAGGCUGUUAGAUUUCUCAUUUGAAUUAUUUUACAUUUGUCAUUUCAGGGCAUAUUAUAACUGACUAUACAAUAUAUGUUUUGAUCAUUCUUGAAGGAUGUACAGUGAUCUAUAAUUGUUAGUUUCUGUGUCAUUUGAUCUCUUGUGAAGAGCUGUCUCAUUGGCAAUCAUACCAUAUCUCCAAAACAAAAUCAAUUUAAAUGUAGAUCCAAAGUGUGAAUGUGGUC
rnacentral:lncRNA from 1 species